rnacentral:rRNA from 1 species
GAUGAACGCUGGCGGCGUGCCUAAUACAUGCAAGUCGAGCGAACAGACGAGGAGCUUGCUCCUCUGACGUUAGCGGCGGACGGGUGAGUAACACGUGGAUAACCUACCUAUAAGACUGGGAUAACUUCGGGAAACCGGAUCUAAUACCGGAUAAUAUAUUGAACCGCAUGGUUCAAUAGUGAAAGACGGUCUUGCUGUCACUUAUAGAUGGAUCCGCGCCGCAUUAGCUAGUUGGUAAGGUAACGGCUUACCAAGGCAACGAUGCGUAACCGACCUGAGAGGGUGAUCAGCCACUCUGGAAAUGAGACACGGUCCAGAAUCCAACGGGAGAGAGCAGAAGGGGAUCUUCCACGAUAGGCGAGAUCUUAGCGGCACAACGCCGCGUGAGUGAUGAUGGUCUUCGGAUCGUAAAGCUCUGUUAUUAGGAGAAAACAAAUGUGUAAGUAACUAUGCACGUAUUAACGGUACCUAAUCAGAAAGCCACGGCUAACUACGUG